rnacentral:rRNA from 1 species
UACAGGGGGUGCGAGCGUUGUUCGGAAUUACUGGGCGUAAAGAGCGUGUAGGCGGUCUAGCAAGUCAGAUGUGAAAGCCCAGAGCCUAACUCUGGAAGUGCAUUUGAAACUGCUAGGCUUGAGUGAUGUAGAGGUUGGCGGAAUACCCAGUGUAGAGGUGAAAUUCGUAGAUAUUGGGUAGAACACCGGUGGCGAAGGCGGCCAACUGGGCAUUAACUGACGCUGAGACGCGAAAGCGUGGGGAGCAAACAGG